GGAGGGAUCGCAUAGUGGUCUAGUGCGGGCGCCUGCUAAGCGCUUACCCUGGGUUUACUGGGGUCAUGGGUUCGAAUCCCAUUCCCUCCGCCA
rnacentral:tRNA from 2 species